rnacentral:rRNA from 1 species
AGGAAUCUCCACAAUGGACGCAAGUCUGAUGGAGCAACGCCGCGUGAGUGAAGAAGGUUUUCGGACCGUAAAGCUCUGUUGUUGGUGAAGAAGGAUAGAGGUAGUAACUGGCCUUUAUUUGACGGUAAUCAACCAGAAAGUCACGGCUAACUACGUGCCAGCAGCCGCGGUAAUCGUAGGUGGCAAGCGUUGUCCGGAUUUAUUGGGCGUAAAGCGAGCGCAGGCGGAAGAAUAAGUCUGAUGUGAAAGCCCUCGGCUUAACCGAGGAAUUGCAUCGGAAACUGUUUUCUUGAGUGCAGAAGAGGAGAGUAGAACUCCAUGUGUAGCGGUGGAAUGCGUAGAUAUAUGGAAGAAUACCAGUGGCGAAGGCGGCUCUCUGGUCUGCAAACUGACGCUGAGGCUCGAAAGCAUGGGUAGCGAACAGGAUUAGAUACCCUGGUAGUCCAUGCCGUAAACGAUGAGUGCUAAGUGUUGGG